GGAGGGAUGGCCGAGCGGUUUAAGGCGCACGCCUGGAAAGCGUGUUGGGGUUAACUCCUCUCAAGGGUUCGAAUCCCUUUCUCUCCGCCA
rnacentral:tRNA from 1 species